rnacentral:lncRNA from 1 species
AGUAAUGAACAAAUUUGAAAUACAACAUAUAUACCUGCUCUAUGUACCUCACAGGAUAAUUGUGAAGAUCAGCCAAAAAGAUGAGUAAAUGAUAUAAAGUUGACAAACUGUAAGACAAUUGAAAUACCAUAAAAAACACCAGGCUGGUCUGGCUAGAAGAAGAAAUCUUGUAUUCAGACUGAACAAAACCCUAGGAUCCCAGGACAAGCAGGUGCUCAGUGGGAGAUACAGGACCUUCUUGGGCAUC